CCUGUUUUUUUCAAAACAUGUCUUAAUGCUUUAUAUUUAUUAAGUCUAACCUGCUCAAUGAUUUAAUUAUUUAAAUAGCCGCAGUAUUUUGACUGUGCGAAGGUAGCAUAAUCAUUUGUCUUUUAAUUGAAGGCUUGAAUGAAUGGUUGGAUGAGAAAAUGACUUUCUUUAUAUUAUUAAAUAUAAUUUAAUUAUUAAGUUAAAAAGCUUAAAUUAAUUAGUGGGACGAGAAGACCCUAUAGAAUUUUAUUUUAAUUGUAUUUAUUAAUUAUCGGUAAAUAAAAUUUACUAUUUAUAAUUAAAAUUUUGUUGGGGUGACAUUGAGAUUUAUUUAACUCUCAUAUUUUAUUUAUUAUUUAUUUAUAUAUUUAUAAUCCUUAUUUUAAGAAUUUAGAUUAAAUUACCUUAGGGAUAACAGCGUUAUUCUUUUGAAGAGUUCUUAUCGAUAAAAGAGUUUGCGACCUCGAUGUUGGAUUAAAAUUAGAUUUAAGUGCAGUAGCUUAAUUUCUAGGUCUGUUCGACCUUUAAAUUUUUACAUGAUC
rnacentral:rRNA from 1 species